UGGUCGUCAGGUGACCGAGGCUGAGUUUCGCAGAGAGGUAAACUCCCCACGUCCGGAAAGGCUGACCCUUUAGGAGACCUGGGAGGGGGCCCAGGGCAGUCCCCAUCCCCUCCUCCUCCCGGCCUGCCCCUGUCCCUGCCCCAGCCCGGCCGUCCUCGGAGCGGAUAAAAGGGAUGCAUUCAUUCCAGACCGGCGAGCGGGCGAAGGAUCGAGAUGAAUAGGGAGGGUCCCGAGUGUCCCUGCUUCCUGGAAUGUACAAUGGACAAGGGCAUUCAUUCUUUCAUUCAUUCACUCGUCAAAUAUUUAAUGUGCUCCCGCUCCGUGCCAGGCUCUGUCCUAUCUGUACGGAUACACCAACAAGUAACCUGAAUGUGCUUCUGGUAGAAGAAAGAGCGCGUGCAAAAGGCCUGGAGGCCGGACAGAGAGAUACAGCACACUUUAGGAUGGUGCAGUAUCCUAGGAGCUAGCAAAACUAGGUGAAAUGGUAUAAUGGAAGGGAAGACAAGGACAUCUGGAUGGACUGUCCGCUUGUUGGUUAGGCCAGCGAAUAUGUACUGAGCACAUACUAUGUGCUGGAUUAUAAAGGGUGCCCAAACAGUCCAAACCUCCGCUCUUUCAUGAGGUUGUCUCCUCCAUCUCGGUGCUCCCCACCCAUGCCCGGGUCCUGAAAUUGGCGCAGAGCAAGCCGUGUAUCAGCACACAUGUGUGUGAAUCUCAUUGCCAGCUUUGGCUUGUAACUGAGCCUUCUCAGGCAGGAGGAGGUCCAAGGCACACAGACACAAACUCACCUCUUGUAGACCAGGACGCAGAGUUCCCGGGACAGAUGCAUCCCUCACGUCUUAUGACUCUGUCCCCCGGGGAUGGACAUCAGGUAGCCUCCAGCUCCUGGCACUGCAGCCCUGGACAUGUCUCCUCAGAGACCUGCUGGGAAACUCCCUCGGAGAGAGACCAGGCUGCAGAGAUGCCGUAUCACAGGGCACAAUCCAUUGCUACGUGGCCUCCUGAGUGACCCGCAGUCACCUCCCCUGGCAGUGCAGAAGGUCCCACGAACCCACAUCUCCGCCAGCUGUUAGCCUUUUCCAGCUUCUGGUUUUUGCCACUCUGUGUCAAAGUCCAGUGACGUCACAUUGCUAUCUUUCACAUUUUCCUGACUUCGAAUCGCUCCGAGCAUCUCUUCAUUUGCUUGAUCACCUUCAGUGUCCCUUCUUCUGUAAAUUGCCUGUUCAUACUC